CGCCGAACUCCGCUCUGGGGCCCCGAGGGCCGCGGCCGCGGCGGGGGCUCGGACCCGGAAGCAAACGGACCGGAAGUGACGCGCGCCGCGGCCCCAGGACGGCGGCUGGCCGGGUUGUCAUGGGAACCGGUCUGAGCCCGGCGGCUGAGGCUCCGAGCUGUGAGCGCAGCCCGCGGACCGCGGCUUCCGCCGCCCGGACUUGCCCCCCGUCCAGGUGACCGCGAGCUGCGCUCCCGACCGCGCCUGAGCUGACGGCUGGACCCCUCGCCCCAUUUUACGGACGGAAAUACCGAGAGCAAGUGAGAUGCGCGGGAUCACGCGAGACUGAAUCCCGCCUUGGGAGCAUUGUUGACGUUACAGGCUGUCGUUAAGACCGGGGCCCCAACUUUGCCUUUGCCACUUCCUAGCUGCGUGACACGGGGCAAAUUACUUAACCUCUCUGAGCCUCAGCUUUUUCACCUGUAAAAUGGAAUAAUUGUACCGCCUCGUGGGAUUCAUGUGAGAAUUAAUAUAUAGAAACCAGUUAUUACAGUAGUUGGCGUAUAGUAAAGAUCUAAAUACGUUUUGUUUUUUUAAGUAGUUAAGUCAAAGAAAAUGACCGGUCUCUGCCCUCAACUUCCCUUGGGGAAAACGAUGCCAAAAUAUUGCCUCCUAGCCUUGUGACUUUUCACCAGGCACCUGCAGUACCUGCGUGGUCUACACUGACGUCAAUCCUGGUAGCUUGUCAUUUCACUUCGUGGAUUUGUCUAUACUCCCACCCACCACGUUGACUCUGGGCUCCCCGAGGACUCGGCUUUUGUGGGUCACCACUCACUGAAUCCCUAGUGUUUGCAAAGUGCCUGGCACGUACUCAAGACUGUGUUGAACACGUUUGCGAUUGAACCGUUCAUUCUCUCUCUCUAACUUACUCCAGCCACUUAUUCAAGACUCAGAGCCCACCCCAUGCCAAGUUCUCUUCCUCCACGUGCUCUUGGCUCCCUGCACUUAGCGUGCUCUUCCACCCUUCUGCCUCUGAGCCUCUAUAUGCUCUUCCCUCAGUGUGAAUGUUCUUCCCCUCACCUCCUUCCUUGCUUUCUUGACUUCCAGCCCCAGCUCAGUCCUCACAUCCUUUCUGAAGCGUUCUCUGAUUCCUCCAGGCAAAGAUCCACCUUCCUCUGGUUCCCCAACACUGUCUUUCAUAAUUUUAUCUGAGCUCUUACUGCAGUGGAUUAUAUGUAUUUUUAAACCUGACACCCCCACAAGACCUGGCGCUCCUUACUCCUCUGUGUUUCCCCUGAGCUCUGCACAUGUCUGAUCAGGAGGCGCCCAACAGAUGUUCCUUGGCUGCAGGACUCUUUGUCUCAGCCUUGGUGUCCCCAGCUGAAGCCGGGGGGUCUUGUCUCAGGAGGGAAUGACAUCGUACCUGGGGAAGCAUUUGGAGAAGGAGCAGCCUGCUGUUCCUGCAGCAGCAGUGACUAUAUUUAUCUGGUGCUGUCCUAGCACCGCACAAGGUCUUUGUGCACUUCAGCCUUUAUCAGCUCAGGUUUAAGCUCCUCUCUUAAUCACCUGCAAGGGAAUGGUGUUUACAGGGAUUCCAGCUGAGAAAAACUGGCCCACCUGAAUUGUCUGCCUUUGCAGCAACUCACAACUGACCUUUGGAAACUGUUGUGGGACUGCAUGAGACUGCUAAUAAGUCCCUUGCAGCUCCGUGGUUCUGUGACAGCCAAAAGGGAAACAGAGUUUGCAGAAGGCUUUACCAGUAGGAAACCCUGGUCAUCGAGACUCGGUGACAUUUCAUAUCAGAAAAGACCCAAAGUCUCCGAAGAGAGUCGUGUGUCUCAUCUUUUAGACGAGGUUGAAGGCCUGAGAUUCCUCUGCUUGGUAACGUGGAACCGCAGGAGCAUCUCUCCAGAUUUUAUUACAUAAUGAUUCGCAGGUUAUGUAACAGUCAUGACAAUGAUCAGGCACCUCUACUUGCUAAGAGCCAACAACACGAACAAUCUACCUACUUCUUUCUAUUUUUUAGGCGUUUUUCUCAUCACAAAAGUAGCACAUGAAUUCCAACGAUGCAGACGUGUGUAGAACGAAAAAUGAAAAAGAAAAGCAACCCUAGGACCCAGCAGUUUGAUUUCUUGGAAUCUACUAGAGAAACCAGCGUACAUGCACCAAGAAACCUGUUGCGUCGUUGUUUGUAAUGCAAAAUCAAAACCAGAACCAUGCUAAAUGUCCGUCAGUAGGGGAGUGGUGUGUCCGUGCUGGUGACUAGGGUGUGUCACUGAAAAGGAUGAUGGAAGCCUGUGUAGCUCUGCAGGACGUGCCCUGAAAUGGAAACCGUAUUGUCUAAGGGCUAAGUACAGUAAGCCACAAUGAGCAGGGGCGGUAAAUGCUUGAGGAACAGGAAAGAAUAAGAGAGGCAGCGUUCACCUUGCCGGCCAGUGUAUAAGCUCGUGGAAGGUUCAUUUCAAGGGCCCAAACUGGAGGCACUCAUGGGAUUUGAAGCUCCCUGGCCACACACACAGGGUCUGGCAGCAGCUGCAAGGCCGAUGAAAGGAGCUGGACCUCAUCACCAGGAGACGCGUGAGCACGACGUUACCCAAUGUUCCCUCACGGAGGACGACGCUGCCCAUUCCUUCUGCUUCCACUGGGAAGUCUCAGUGUGGUGACAGCUUGUCUUCAACGCCUCUCCAAUAAUGGCUCAUCUGCCUUUCCAGCGCCAACAGUACCCAGCAUGAAUUAAUAGUAUUGUUUUCGGGGUCGGCCCUGUGGCGCAGCAGUUAAGUUCCCGUGUUCCACUUCGCCGGCCUAGUGCUCACGGGUUCAGAUCCCAGUAUGGACCUGUGCACCGCUUGUCAACCCCAGGCUGUGGUAGGCGUCCCACAUAUAAAGUAGAGGAAGAUGGGCACAGAUGUUAGCUCAGGGCCAGGCUUCCUCAGCAAAAAGAGGAGGAUUAGCAGCAGGUGUUAGCUCAGGGCUGAUCUUCCUCAAAAAAAUAAAUAGUAUUGCUUUGUUUCCAGUGUAUUUUUGCAGUGCC
rnacentral:lncRNA from 1 species